rnacentral:rRNA from 1 species
AUUGAACGCUGGCGGCAUGCCUUACACAUGCAAGUCGAACGGCAGCACGGGAGCAAUCCUGGUGGCGAGUGGCGAACGGGUGAGUAAUACAUCGGAACGUGCCCAGUAGUGGGGAUAACCGGCGAAAGCGGACUAAUACCGCAUACGACCUACGGUGAAAGCGGGGAGUCGCAAGACCUCGCGUUAUUGGAGCGGCCGAUGGCAGAUUAGCUAGUUGGUGGGGUAAAGCCACCAAGGCGACGAUCUGUAGCUGGUCUGAGAGGACGACCAGCC